AACGAACGCUGGCGGCAUGCCUAACACAUGUAAGUCGAACGAGAUCUUCGGGUCUAGUGGCGCACGGGUGCGUAACGCGUGGGAAUCUGCCCUUUGGUUCGGAAUAACAGUUGGAAACGACUGCUAAUACCGGAUGAUGACGAAAGUCCAAAGAUUUAUCGCCAGAGGAUGAGCCCGCGUAGGAUUAGCUAGUUGGUGUGGCAAAGGCGCACCAAGGCGACGAUCCUUAGCUGGUCUGAGAGGAUGAUCAGCCACACUGGGACUGAGACACGGCCCAGACUCCUACGGGAGGCAGCAGUGGGGAAUAUUGGACAAUGGGCGAAAGCCUGAUCCAGCAAUGCCGCGUGAGUGAUGAAGGCCUUAGGGUUGUAAAGCUCUUUUACCCGGGAUGAUAAUGACAGUACCGGGAGAAUAAGCUCCGGCUAACUUCGUGCCAGCCGCCGCAGUAA
rnacentral:rRNA from 1 species